UACUUGAGAAGGUUGUCCUUCCACUCGAUGUUGCACCUCCAGCAAAGAGGGGAAUAUGCACUGUGUUGCCAUCUCCUAAUGUUUGGUUCUCCCUGAAUUUCUGCAUCAUAAUACAUCGCCGCUGCAACCAAUUAAUUCAGCUUCUCGGACGAGUGUGCUUCGUAAUCCAGACAUGGAGAAGCUUUAGAAUGGUUACUUAUUCCCAGAGGAUUAGCAUGAGAUGUGAAGCACACUUCCCUGAAGCAAAAUUCUUUGUUUAUUUCCUAUAUUGUUGAUGCGGGUGAACUGAUUUGGGUAUUAUAAUAGGCUUUGCCCUUUAGUAAUUUCCUUGUCGGUCGGCCCGUACAGGUAUCUAGGAUUAUUGAUGGUGACAUGGAUGAUUCCUGUGGUCUGGAGAACGUUGCUUCCAGUCACUUGCCUAGCUAAAUGCCAAUGCAUGAGAUAGCAUUUGCGUCAACUGAUAAGUCAGAGCUACUUAGUCAUGUAAACAAACUUAUAGGACAUGGUGAGCCAAAGUGAGCUGCCGCCGAUUCUCCCCAUUGCUAGCCCCCACUCCUCCUCUCUUCUUAUUGCUCCCUCAUUUUCUUCCACUCU